UACGUAGGUGGCAAGCGUUUGUCCGGAUUUAUUGGGUUUAAAGGGUGCGUAGGCGGCCCUGUAAGUCAGUGCUGAAAUAUCCCGGCUUAACCGGGAGGGUGGCAUUGAUACUGCGGGGCUAGAGUACAGAUGAGGUAGGCGGAAUUGACGGUGUAGCGGUGAAAUGCUUAGAUAUCGUCAAGAACACCUAUAGCGAAGGCAGCUUACUAGGCUGUAACUGACGCUGAGGCACGAAAGUGUGGGGAUCAAACAGG
rnacentral:rRNA from 1 species